rnacentral:rRNA from 1 species
UACGAAGGGGGCGAGCGUUGUUCGGAUUUACUGGGCGUAAAGGGCGCGCAGGCGGCUCAUUUUGUCAGGCGUGAAAGCCCCGGGCUUAACCUGGGAACUGCGUUUGAUACGGAUGGGCUAGAGUUCGUGAGAGGAGAGUGGAAUUCCCAGUGUAGAGGUGAAAUUCGUAGAUACUGGGAAGAACACCGGUGGCGAAGGCGGCUCUCUGGACCGAUACUGACGCUGAGGCGCGAAAGCGUGGGGAGCAAACAGG